rfam:Cajanus cajan CcLG03_1657, whole genome shotgun sequence.
AGCAAGAGACAGGACAAAGGCUGGGAACAGGCAGAGCACGAAUGGAUCUAUCAACAGAAAAAUAAUGAAGUGAGAAUGAGAGGAGGGAGAGAUCUGUUGUGGCUACACUCAUGCACUGCCUCUUCCCUGGCUCUGUCUCUUUCCUACUC